CUAGCACUGAGUAGGAUACUAUAGUGUUAGGAAUACAUAUUUGGAUUCCGACUCUAUAGUGUUCCUUUAACUGUCAUGGUUAUACAAAAAGUGUUUAUAAACCAUUUUAAAUGAAAGUUUCUGGUGUCAGAGAAUCUGAUCAGAACAAAUGUACAAUUUUACACAGCAAAACAAUAGACUUCUUCUUCAAAGAGUUUUGGCAACACAGCUCAAGUUCUACGUGCACAAAAGCUAUAAAUAUAUAGCUCAAGAUCCAAUAUGUAACAGGUAGUGUUUCCAGUCACUGCCAUGAAUAUAUCUAAUGCUAUUUAAUGGCAAGUCAAUGGUGUGUUAGAGAAGGACUAAUUCUUUAUAUUGUUACCAGCUGAGUGUUGGUAAGUAGUCAUGGCAUAUCAAACAGUUGAAUACAAUGCCCCAGUAGAGAUCACCAAAUUAUUUCUUUGGAAGUUGCUAACUUAUUCUAAAAUGAUAAUCGCAGCUCAUGGUUUUAACUAUUGUACAGUAUUAUAGAUGAUCUAUUUUUAUAUAUAAUAUUACAAAAAAGUGUGCAGUAACUCACAAGCUUGACAAUG